rnacentral:rRNA from 1 species
UACGUAGGGUGCAAGCGUUGUUCGGAGUUACUGGGCGUAAAGGGUGCGUAGGCGGCUUCUUAAGUCUGGUGUGAAAUCUCCCGGCUCAACUGGGAGGGUGCGCCGGAUACUGAGGGGCUAGAGUGUGGGAGAGGAAAGUGGAAUUCCUGGUGUAGCGGUGAAAUGCGCAGAUAUCAGGAAGAACACCCGUGGCUAAGGCGGCUCUCUAGUACGGUACUGACGCUGAGACGCGAAAGCGUGGGGAGCGAACAGG